UGCAUGUGUGUGUGUGUUAACAGCUGUCUGUACGAGGACCGGUGUGUGUUUUAGACCUUGUAGCUCGUCGCCAUAGGAGCUUUAUAUAGCUGUUUAAGAGAGCUCAUCAGUGGCUUCAUCCAAACACCAUCACGCAGCCUCAUUUCUCUGAAUCCACCAGCCCACAAUUACAGGCCAUGUGCUGAGACCACAAAGUGGAGGGAUUCCGAGUGGAGACCUGCACUAACCCUCUGAAUGACUGGAACCACGCAGGUCCAGACCAGGGUCUGGAAAAGUCUAAUGAAGCUGGUGCAUGCAAUGAACAUGCACCUCUGAGUCUGAAGGGAUAUUACACACCAGCAAGUAAAA